UGGCUCUCGCACCGAUGAAGAACGCAGCGAAAUGCGAUAAGUAAUGUGAAUUGCAGAAUUCAGUGAAUCAUCGAAUCUUUGAACGCACCUUGCACCUUUUGGUAUUCCGAAAGGUACACCCGUUUGAGUGUCAUUGUAAUCUCACUCCUUCAACUUUGUUGUUGCUGGAUGUGGACCUGGACUCUGUCGUGUUACAGCGACUGGUCUGAAAUGCCUGAGUGCACCCUGCUGUUGCAGCGUCUUCAGUGUGAUAAGCAUCUUCACUGAUUCAAGUUCCUUCGGGACACGUAGCAUUGUAGGCUCUGUGCUGACAAACCGUCCUCUUUUGGACAAUCUUUGACAAUUUGACCUCAAAUCGGGUGGGACUACCCGCUGA
rnacentral:misc_RNA from 1 species